rnacentral:rRNA from 1 species
AUUGAACGCUGGCGGCAUGCCUUACACAUGCAAGUCGAACGGCAGCACGGGAGCAAUCCUGGUGGCGAGUGGCGAACGGGUGAGUAAAGUAUCGGAACGUGCCCAGUCGUGGGGGAUAACGUAGCGAAAGUUACGCUAAUACCGCAUACGAUCUAUGGAUGAAAGCGGGGGAUCGCAAGACCUCGCGCGAUUGGAGCGGCCGAUAUCAGAUUAGGUAGUUGGUGGGGUAAAGGCUCACCAAGCCGACGAUCUGUAGCUGGUCUGAGAGGACGACCAGCCACACUGGGACUGAGACACGGCCCAGACUCCUACGGGAGGCAGCAGUGGGGAAUUUUGGACAAUGGGCGCAAGCCUGAUCCAGCCAUGCCGCGUGCAGGAUGAAGGCCUUCGGGUUGUAAACUGCUUUUGUACGGAACGAAAAGGUUUGGCCUAAUACGCUGAACUCAUGACGGUACCGUAAGAAUAAGCACCGGCUAACUACGUGCCAGCAGCCGCAGUAAGAC